rnacentral:rRNA from 1 species
UACAGAGGGUGCAAGCGUUAAUCGGAAUUACUGGGCGUAAAGCGUGCGUAGGUGGGUGUAUAAGUCAGAUGUGAAAGCCCCGGGCUUAACCUGGGAAAGUCGUCUGGUACUGUACAUCUAGAGUACAGGAGAGGGAAGUGGAAUUUCCGGUGUAGCGGUGAAAUGCGUAGAUAUCGGAAGGAACACCAGUGGCGAAGGCGGCUUCCUGGCCUGAUACUGACACUGAGGCACGAGAGCGUGGGGAGCGAACAGG